rnacentral:rRNA from 1 species
GGUUAAGCGACUAAGCGUACACGGUGGAUGCCCUGGCAGUCAGAGGCGAUGAAGGACGUGCUAAUCUGCGAUAAGCGUCGGUAAGGUGAUAUGAACCGUUAUAACCGGCGAUUUCCGAAUGGGGAAACCCAGUGUGAUUCGUCACACUAUCAUUAACUGAAUCCAUAGGUUAAUGAGGCGAACCGGGGGAACUGAAACAUCUAAGUACCCCGAGGAAAAGAAAUCAACCGAGAUUCCCCCAGUAGCGGCGAGCGAACGGGGAGCAGCCCAGAGCCUGAAUCAGUGUGUGUGUUAGUGGAAGCGUCUGGAAAGGCGCGCGAUACAGGGUGACAGCCCCGUACACAAAAAUGCACAUGCUGUGAGCUCGAUGAGUAGGGCGGGACACGUGGUAUCCUGUCUGAAUAUGGGGGGACCAUCCUCCAAGGCUAAAUACUCCUGACUGACCGAUAGUGAACCAGUACCGUGAGGGAAAGGCGAAAAGAACCCCGGCGAGGGGAGUGAAAAAGAACCUGAAACCGUGUACGUACAAGCAGUGGGAGCACGCUUCGGCGUGUGACUGCGUACCUUUUGUAUAAUGGGUCAGCGACUUAUAUUCUGUAGCAAGGUUAACCGAAUAGGGGAGCCGAAGGGAAACCGAGUCUUAACUGGGCGUUAAGUUGCAGGGUAUAGACCCGAAACCCGGUGAUCUAGCCAUGGGCAGGUUGAAGGUUGGGUAACACUAACUGGAGGACCGAACCGACUAAUGUUGAAAAAUUAGCGGAUGACUUGUGGCUGGGGGUGAAAGGCCAAUCAAACCGGGAGAUAGCUGGUUCUCCCCGAAAGCUAUUUAGGUAGCGCCUCGUGAAUUCAUCUCCGGGGGUAGAGCACUGUUUCGGCAAGGGGGUCAUCCCGACUUACCAACCCGAUGCAAACUGCGAAUACCGGAGAAUGUUAUCACGGGAGACACACGGCGGGUGCUAACGUCCGUCGUGAAGAGGGAAACAACCCAGACCGCCAGCUAAGGUCCCAAAGUCAUGGUUAAGUGGGAAACGAUGUGGGAAGGCCCAGACAGCCAGGAUGUUGGCUUAGAAGCAGCCAUCAUUUAAAGAAAGCGUAAUAGCUCACUGGUCGAGUCGGCCUGCGCGGAAGAUGUAACGGGGCUAAACCAUGCACCGAAGCUGCGGCAGCGACACUAUGUGUUGUUGGGUAGGGGAGCGUUCUGUAAGCCUGUGAAGGUGUACUGUGAGGUAUGCUGGAGGUAUCAGAAGUGCGAAUGCUGACAUAAGUAACGAUAAAGCGGGUGAAAAGCCCGCUCGCCGGAAGACCAAGGGUUCCUGUCCAACGUUAAUCGGGGCAGGGUGAGUCGACCCCUAAGGCGAGGCCGAAAGGCGUAGUCGAUGGGAAACAGGUUAAUAUUCCUGUACUUGGUGUUACUGCGAAGGGGGGACGGAGAAGGCUAUGUUGGCCGGGCGACGGUUGUCCCGGUUUAAGCGUGUAGGCUGGUUUUCCAGGCAAAUCCGGAAAAUCAAGGCUGAGGCGUGAUGACGAGGCACUACGGUGCUGAAGCAACAAAUGCCCUGCUUCCAGGAAAAGCCUCUAAGCAUCAGGUAACAUCAAAUCGUACCCCAAACCGACACAGGUGGUCAGGUAGAGAAUACCAAGGCGCUUGAGAGAACUCGGGUGAAGGAACUAGGCAAAAUGGUGCCGUAACUUCGGGAGAAGGCACGCUGAUAUGUAGGUGAAGCGACUUGCUCGUGGAGCUGAAAUCAGUCGAAGAUACCAGCUGGCUGCAACUGUUUAUUAAAAACACAGCACUGUGCAAACACGAAAGUGGACGUAUACGGUGUGACGCCUGCCCGGUGCCGGAAGGUUAAUUGAUGGGGUUAGCGGUAACGCGAAGCUCUUGAUCGAAGCCCCGGUAAACGGCGGCCGUAACUAUAACGGUCCUAAGGUAGCGAAAUUCCUUGUCGGGUAAGUUCCGACCUGCACGAAUGGCGUAAUGAUGGCCAGGCUGUCUCCACCCGAGACUCAGUGAAAUUGAACUCGCUGUGAAGAUGCAGUGUACCCGCGGCAAGACGGAAAGACCCCGUGAACCUUUACUAUAGCUUGACACUGAACAUUGAGCCUUGAUGUGUAGGAUAGGUGGGAGGCUUUGAAGUGUGGACGCCAGUCUGCAUGGAGCCGACCUUGAAAUACCACCCUUUAAUGUUUGAUGUUCUAACGUUGACCCGUGAUCCGGGUUGCGGACAGUGUCUGGUGGGUAGUUUGACUGGGGCGGUCUCCUCCUAAAGAGUAACGGAGGAGCACGAAGGUUGGCUAAUCCUGGUCGGACAUCAGGAGGUUAGUGCAAUGGCAUAAGCCAGCUUGACUGCGAGCGUGACGGCGCGAGCAGGUGCGAAAGCAGGUCAUAGUGAUCCGGUGGUUCUGAAUGGAAGGGCCAUCGCUCAACGGAUAAAAGGUACUCCGGGGAUAACAGGCUGAUACCGCCCAAGAGUUCAUAUCGACGGCGGUGUUUGGCACCUCGAUGUCGGCUCAUCACAUCCUGGGGCUGAAGUAGGUCCCAAGGGUAUGGCUGUUCGCCAUUUAAAGUGGUACGCGAGCUGGGUUUAGAACGUCGUGAGACAGUUCGGUCCCUAUCUGCCGUGGGCGCUGGAGAACUGAGGGGGGCUGCUCCUAGUACGAGAGGACCGGAGUGGACGCAUCACUGGUGUUCGGGUUGUCAUGCCAAUGGCACUGCCCGGUAGCUAAAUGCGGAAGAGAUAAGUGCUGAAAGCAUCUAAGCACGAAACUUGCCCCGAGAUGAGUUCUCCCUGACUCCCUGAGAGUCCUGAAGGAACGUUGAAGACGACGACGUUGAUAGGCCGGGUGUGUAAGCGCAGCGAUGCGUUGAGCUAACCGGUACUAAUGAACCGUGAGGCUUAACCUU